GACGAACCGUGCGAACGUUGUUCGGAAUCACUGGGCUUAAAGGGCGCGUAGGCGGGCCGGCAAGUCAGGGGUGAAAUCCCACGGCUCAACCGUGGAAGUGCCUUUGAUACUGCCGGUCUGGAGGGAGGUAGGGGCGUGCGGAACUUCCGGUGGAGCGGUGAAAUGCGUAGAUAUCGGAAGGAACACCGGUGGCGAAAGCGGCGCGCUGGACCUCUACUGACGCUGAGGCGCGAA
rnacentral:rRNA from 1 species